rnacentral:rRNA from 1 species
UGGGGAAUAUUGGGCAAUGGGCGAAAGCCUGACCCAGCAACGCCGCGUGAUUGAAGAAGGUCUUCGGAUUGUAAAGAUCUGUCCUAUGGGACGAAACAAAUGACGGUACCAUAGGAGGAAGCCCCGGCUAACUACGUGCCAGCAGCCGCGGUAAUACGUAGGGGGCGAGCGUUGUCCGGAAUUACUGGGCGUAAAGGGUGCGCAGGCGGCGCUUUAAGUCAGAUGUGAAAUACCCGGGCUUAACCUGGGGGGUGCAUUUGAAACUGGAGCACUUGAGUGCAGGAGAGGAAAGUGGAAUUCCUAGUGUAGCGGUGAAAUGCGUAGAUAUUAGGAGGAACACCAGUGGCGAAGGCGACUUUCUGGACUGUAACUGACGCUGAGGCACGAAAGCGUGGGGAG